CUACAGCAGAGGUUAGCGCGCGGCGGCGGCAUGGAUUUCCACCACUUCGACCUGUGUUUUUGUCUGCUGCUCAAAGCUUGCACCGCCGUAUUUCUCUCUUCUCCCCUUCUCGUGUUCACAGCUCUACAACCCGUGCGCGGAAGUCACCGACUCCACAAACGGAAACUUUGGCCUGUUCAAGGGCGUCACGUUGAGAAACCGCCUACGUUUUUUUCCCCUUCUAAAACGUACCGUUUGGUGCAGUCCAUCAGUUCCCUCACGAAAAACGAAGUGUUUUCGUCCUCACAGGAUCGGAAUGCGUAGGGGUGCAGCGGCUAACCGCACCGUCCAAACCUCGGAAGAACAUUCUUUGUAAAGUGAAAAAGAAAAGCAGACACCAGCACACUGCGAUGCGGCCUGUCCCGCCCUGCAAAACGGCAAGCCCCCGAAAAAGAAUCCUCAGGGCAGCGUGUGGAGUUGCCUGAUCAGUGUGAAGGCUUUCAGCGAUCGAGAGGUUGCGAAACUGCGAGAGACUUCGCUGCCACGAGCAGAUUUUAUCUCUUCCUUUUUUUUUGGAAUUGCGUGCAUGCAACCAUUGCUGUCUCUUGGUUUUUGCCCACCGGGUUGGGGCUUGCUGGAUGCCGUCACUGUGCCUGGGCAGGAAGGGAGAAAAAACUCUGAACAUUUCAUCGCUUCUUGUCGCUCUUGUCGCGUCUCUGCGCUGGCAUUUUCUGUGGGAUUUUCGGCCUUUCUUUCGGGAGAAGGAUGAACAGCUUUUAUCUUGGUUAGCUGUUUCCUACAGAAGCGCGAACCAGCUCGUCUCCCCUGGGAUCAAGCUAGUGCUAUCGAGUCCCUCCCGAAAUAGUCUUUUCUCCCGUCUGCGUUAAGUUGGCAAACCCCCGCUUUUGUGCGAUGAAUUGUCUCGAACACGUGGAAGCAUGAAUUGACUGAAUAUCUAGCGGAGAAAGGAGCAAAGUUCUCUUUCUCGGGCGCCGUGCAAUCUUUCCAUCGUCUCUCCAACAACUCAGCUGAGUGUGGGAAUGGCUGAGUCUUUACCGUUCUUUUUGCUCGUUCCGUUGGCUUCAGGCGCUUUGAGGAAGCAGGCAAUGCACGCGCGGCCUUCGUUUUUUCGAUUUCACACUUCUGCCAAGAGCUAGGUUUCGCCAUCCGAAACUGCCGUACCCCUCCCCUCGUGAACGCAAGCUUUGUACACCAGCCUGCUUCAUCUCUUGUCCUGUCUCCAGAAGAGAGGUUUGCAUGGUUAACAGUCCGUGCGUAGGCAAGAGUAAGGAUCAACGCGUGGAUUGCUGUGUAUUUCUGUAGCACUGAUAUUGAGGUCGAUCUCCAGAGUUCCGAGAGCACGCUGCGUUGGGGCCUUUGCACGCUGCUUGCGCUUUGCGUUGUUGUUUGAUAACAUUUCUUUUUUUGAAAGGUCUCUGUCGACUCAUUCGGCAGCAGUCCCUGAAGGACUUCUUUCUUUCUCAUUUCCAUGGCGGCCCGUACCCACACAGUGUCGAGGGGCAGCACGACAACCACCGUGCUGCCCACGGCUGUGGUGCAUAUUGUAGAGAAUCCGAGCGGCUUGCUCGGGUCCCCGACUCCGGAUACGACUGUGACCGUUUCGGAGCGUCGUGUCAGUUGGGAUACGGCUGCAAUUGACAACGAAAACAUGAACAAGAAGAAGAGUAAAAAGUGCUGCAUUUUUCACAAGCGGCGAGACUUCGGGGAGUCUUCGAGUGACAGCGAUAGCGACAGCUCGUCAGACGCCGAAAGAGCACACGGGACUUGUGGGCAAAAAUGCGACAGCGAACGAGGAAUAAACCACUGCAAGCACCACGAUCCCAGUAACACACCAGCCGAGAAAGAACCUAAAACCCCGUCUGAGUCGUGAAAACGAGAACCCACAGCGAGUUUCCUACAGUGAAAAGGAUUUCUUAAUAUCCAUCUCACACAUGUCCCCGCAGCGGGAACCGGUAUAGGUACGAGCACAAUGAAAUCCUUUUUGGACUGCUUCUCGCUUUUCUGCAGUGCAUGCUUCAUCAAAAUGUCAGCAGCGUUUUUUAGUCGGUCCACAGAUCUGCCGACUUGACUUUUUUUCCGACGUGUACCUAACGGUCCUCGCCGACAGACGGCCUCUGGGAAACGGUGAACACAGAAGAGCUGCAGGUUCUUACACUUUUUGCCUCGGGUAUUGAUCCGAUCCUUUUUCUUCUUUGCGUUUCCAUGUAUCCACGCUUCAUGCAACCAGGCGUCUGCGGUGAUUUUUGCUGGAGGUUGGGGGCCUGCAUCCAAGGUCAGCCCACCCUAGGACCAAGGUUCGUUUUAUGGUGUAGAGAGAGGAGCAAACAUGUACAGUUGCAAAUGGGUCGAGUUGCCUGUAACGGCUUUCCUGCGCUUUUCGCAAAGGUGGUGGGUCAGCGAAAGACAACCGUGAACGUCGCUGCGCCCCUGUAGUGACAAGUCGCUUGUGACUUCUUCCUUUAAAAACCGAGCAACGUGCUUUAUAUUCUGGUUGAACAUCAAUCAGAAAGCAUCCAAAUGUUCGCCUAC
rnacentral:lncRNA from 1 species